GCCCUGGUUGAUGAAUGGUAAAUCACCCACAUCCCUUAAGCAAAUGAGCACGACGGAUUGAUGUGGGAGACGGAGGUUCGAAUCCUCCCUGGGGCA